GAAAAGGAAAAGUUCUGAUAUAUAUAAAGAGCUGGGGUACAUCAGCGCCAAGCGCUUGUCAAAAGUAAAACAUAACAUCCAACCUACACACUAGUCAGCACCGCUAGUCUAUACAGGGUCAAAAUUGGUUGACGAUAUACUACACACUACACACUAAUGUACAUGGUACCACCACUCUGUAACUACCACUGUCUAACUCCAAGGAAAAGUAGGACCUCCAAGCUUGUCCAGCUCCUUCAUCAUCCAUAUGGCCCACUCUACUAGAUCAUUGUAGGUACUCUGAUCUUCAGCUACGGCACCAAGCUUCGCCCUUGCAAUCUCCCUGACAUCUACAAUCUUCUGCCUCAGCUCUCGCUCAGCUCUACCAGGGUCCAUCAUCUGAAUAACACGCUCUAACUCCCUAACCUGCCCAAGAAGCAACUGGCGCUCCAUCCUCAUCGCCUCAUACUCAUGGUAAGGGACAGGGUGCUGUGCGGUACGAAAGGAGGUAUGAACAGAGGAACCUCGGGUGGAACUGGGGGUACUGGGUGGGGGUCCACGUAUGAGAGGCCUAGCACGAGAGGUCGAGGCUAUGUGUCUGGGAGGAACUACUGCUGCUGCAGCCAACACCUCCUCCAAAGUGGGUGAAACAGGAGGGCGAGGCUCUGGUAUCUGAGGGGGUGGGGGUCCACUAACAGUGGUGUCUGAAUGCUAGGGAUAUAAGGGAAUGAUAGGGUCUGACAUCGUGAAUACCUGAAAGUCAUAUGAUAACGCAUACAUAAGAAUCUCUGAUAAUAAGAAUACCUAUUAGUCACUAUUACUCACCUCUCAACGUUCUAUCUACCUAUCACUCACUUCUAAUCUUAAUCCCUCUACCCAAACCCGAUAAUCUAGGCUUGUUUCAUUGACUCAUAACCUGUAGCUCUGAUACCAACCUGUGACGCCCUCCAAAUCCAGGUCAUAGACUUGGGGGUCACACCACAAUAUAAACCUGUAAACAAUAAUAAUAUAUGCAUUGACCCUAAACAUCCACGGAUCGCUCCAGGUUAUAGUAUGAAACAAGCCACAACAUAACUUAUAUUACAAUACGUCGAAUCCCAGUCAAUAUCUUACAAUUUACAAACAUAAAACGCAGUGCUUACACACCAAAGACACUCAAAAGUUCAUAAUAUCAGCAACUCCUAGCAAGGCUUCCCAACACUCAUCCUGAUACCUUAGCUUGAUGACUAGCCUGUGGGUCCUCGCUAACAGUAGUCUCUUUCUUCACUGGAAAAGAACAUAAGGAAUCGCAAGAGUGAGCUUACAGCUCAGCAAGUAAUAUAAACAAGAAACUGAAGUUUAACAUUUAUCCACAAAAACGAAUCAAGAUAUCAAAUUCCCUUUUUAAAGCAGUGAUUAGAAUUGGAUAUUCAU
rnacentral:lncRNA from 1 species